AUGGUCGGCUUCUCGAACGCCACCACUUGUGCUCUCCUCCUCCACCUCGUCAUCUUCUUCUACCUUCCUACUCCUGCCGUCUCCUUGUCCGUCAACUACUCCACGUUUAGCACAGAAGACCAGAAGGACUUCAAGAUCGAAGGCAACACAUCCUUCGGCCCCAACGGAGUGACCUACAUCAUCACGAGGAGUUACGGUAGCGGCGUCGACAACAUCAUUGGCCGGGCGUUGUACAACGCCCAGCCGGUGCAGCUCUGGGACAAGUCGACCGGCGAGGUGGCCAGCUUCACCACGCGGUUCCAGUUCGACAUGUCCAGCGACAACAGCAACAGGGGCAUGGCAUUUUUCCUCGCCAGCUACCCGUCUAGCCUACCCGACGACGGCCCCGCCAACAACCUCGGCCUCACUAACCAAAGUGCAGACGCUGUGGCGUCCGGCGACAGCCGGUUCGUGGCGGUGGAGUUCGACAACUUCAACAAUACAACAGUAUCCGACCCCGACGCCAGCUACGACCACAUCGGCAUCGACGUCAACUCCCUCAGAUCGGUGAGCACACUGCCCCUGCCGAGCUCCAUCUUCACGAGCUACUCCCUGACCUCGACCGCGGUGAUCGAGUACGACAAUGUUUCCAACAUCUUAGCGGUGACGUUAUGGGUCGAGGACUACCUCCGGCAAUACAAACAGAGCUACAACCUUAGCUUCAAGGUUGACCUCAAGAGCGCACUGCCGGAUCAGGUCUCCGUUGGCUUCUCCGCGUCCACGUCCAACGCCAUCCCAUUUACUGGUGCAUAUACGAUUAUAUAUGUAACAUCUUGGUCCUUCGACUCUUCGUUGGAACCACGGCCAGAACCACCACCACCACCACACUCCCCGUCAGGACCAGUUUCUGGAGUUAUAGCCGGAGCGGCUGCCGGCGCAACAAUGUUCCUUGUGCUGCUCUUCGCCGCUGUAGCGGCACUUGUAAUAUGCUGUCGUCGUCGGAACAUCAUGGAGACGGAGGAGGAUUACACAGACUCAGAAGACGAAGGCGAGCCGAUGACGGAGAUUGAGAUGGGGACGAGGCCAAGGCGGUUCCCAUACCACGAGCUCGUGGAUGCGACGAGGAACUUCGCCGCGGAGGAGAAGCUUGGGCAAGGUGGCUUUGGUGCGGUUUACCAAGGCUAUCUGAGAGAGCCAGCUGGGCUUGCCGUGGCCAUAAAAAGGUUGCAGUCUUCCAUACAAGGAAAGAAGGAGUACAAGUCGGAGAUCAAGGUGAUAAGCAGGCUGCGUCACCGGAACCUCGUGCAGCUCAUUGGCUGGUGCCAUGGCCGUGAUAAGGAGCUCCUGCUGGUCUACGAGCUCAUGCCCAAUCGCAGCCUCGACAUCCAUCUCCAUGGCAAGCAGGGCACCUUCCUCACAUGGCCAAUGAGGAUGAGGAUAUUGCUGGAGCUUGGGUCCGCACUGCUGUACCUCCAUGAGGAGUGGGAGCAAUGUGUGCUUCACCGGGACAUCAAGCCCAGCAACGUCAUGCUUGACGAGUCCUUUGGAGCCAAGCUAGGCGACUUCGGACUCGCAAGGCUCGUUGACCACUCCGCUGGGAUGCAGACCAUGACUGCAAUCGCGGGAACUCCAGGCUACUUGGACCCCGAGUGCGUGAACACCGGCAAGGCCAGCGCCGACUCCGAUGUGUACAGCUUCGGCGUGGUUCUACUGGAGGUGGCAUGCGGCAGGAGGCCAAUGAGCCCAGCCAACCAGGACAAGCAGAAGAAUGGCGGCGUCUUCCGGCUGGUCGAGUGGGUCUGGGGACUAUAUGGCCGGGGAUCCAUCCUUGAAGCCACCGACGAGCGGCUGAACGGUGACUACAACGCUGCGGAGGUGGAGAGCGUGAUGGUUGUCGGGUUGUGGUGCGCGCACCCAAACCCGAGUGCACGACCAUCCAUCAGGACAGCCCUGGCCACGCUCCAACCCAAGGCCGACCAAGCCUACCAGCUGCCAGUGCUUCCUUCCAAGAUGCCAGUGCCGAUGUAUGAGCCGUUGAGGCCACUCUCCUGGGCCAAUGUCGUUGGGAUGUCAUCAUCAUCCUCCCACACCGUUGGGAUGUCAUCAUCGACGUCGUCCAGCAUGCCGAUGCACACUUCUUGCACCACAGCCUCCGACGCUAGCACUUCGACAGACAGUUCGAAGACCUCUUCUUCACUACUCAAACAUCAGUAG
rnacentral:rRNA from 1 species